rnacentral:rRNA from 1 species
UACGUAGGGAGCAAGCGUUGUUCGGAAUUACUGGGCGUAAAGAGUGUGUAGGCGGUUUUCUAAGUUUGGUGUGAAAUCUCCCGGCUUAACUGGGAGGGUGCGCCGAAAACUGGAAGGCUUGAGUGCCGGAGAGGAUAGCGGAAUUCCCGGUGUAGCGGUGAAAUGCGUAGAUAUCGGGAAGAACACCCGUGGCGAAGGCGGCUCUCUGGAACGCAACUGACGCUGAGACGCGAAAGCGUGGGGAGCAAACAGG